CCUACGGGGGGCUGCAGUGAGGAAUAUUGGUCAAUGGCCGUAAGGCUGAACCAGCCAAGUCGCGUGAAGGAAGAAGGAUCUAUGGUUUGUAAACUUCUUUUAUAGGGGAAUAAAGGUAUCCACGUGUGGAUAUUGGCAUGUACCCUAUGAAUAAGCAUCGGCUAACUCCGUGCCAGCAGCCGCGGUAAUACGGAGGAUGCGAGCGUUAUGCGGAUUUAUGGGGUUUAAAGGGUGCGUAGGUUGUUUUUUAAGUCAGCGGUGAAAGUUUGUGGCUCAACCAUAACAUUGCCGUUGAAACUGGCAGACUUGAGUGUGUUUGAGGUAUGCGGAAUGCGUGGUGUAGCGGUGAAAUGCAUAGAUAUCACGCAGAACUCCGAUUGCGAAGGCAGCUUACUAGGCCAUAACUGACACUGAAGCACGAAAGCGUGGGGAUCAAACAGGAUUAGAUACCCGAGUAGUC
rnacentral:rRNA from 1 species